GGUUCCGUAGUGUAGUGGUUAUCACGUUCGCUUCACACGCGAAAGGUCCCCGGUUCGAUCCCGGGCGGAACCA
rnacentral:tRNA from 1 species